AUAGUAGUUUGACAAACACUGAUUUUGAUCAUUGAGAAGCUUAAUACUUCCUUAACAAAACAAUGUGGUUAAAACAUCUAGCUGAUUUCUACAGAGUUAUCUCCCUGUAGUGUUAGAUACCACCUUAAAAUGCAUUUAUUAAGACAUAUACUUCAAUUCAAAUUAACUUUUUUAUGCUUGUAGUUAAUCUAGACCUGAUCUGAUGGUUGGUUUUGAGGAGUAAAUUUCAUUUUUUUUCUGCACAAAAGUGUGGCUGAUCAGUGACCAUUGGUUGUCAAUUAAAAAGAUGGUACUCAGUACUCAUUGCUUCUUAUAAACUAGGCAGUGAUUGUUCAGAGGAUUGUAUAAGAGAGUUUCUCUUAAUCACUGUAAAUGGAAGGAAUGUCUAUAACAAAAUGGCAAGGAGUUUAUCUACUUGAAGAUUUGCUAUGAUUUUCAAUUUUGUUGUAACAAUUUGAUUUUAUUAGAUUGCAUUAAUUUCAAAUAUGUGUGAAUAACUGAAUUCAUCCUAGUCUGUCGUUUUGUGAAAGAAACUCAUAAUUUUUAAGGAAUAUUGUAAUUUUCAAUAUUUUGUAGAGAAUUUACAAUAAGUUGUAUCAAUGAAAUGACCACAUCCCACCAUACUCAUAAAAUCAUUAAAAGAUAGAUUGAGUUUGGAAAAGAUAUUUGUAAUUAUUUUUUUAUACUAAAAUUGGAAUAUUUGACAAUUGAUAUUGAUUCAUGUAAUUUGAAAGCAGCAACUUAUUACAUCACAUACAUGUAGCAAUGUUUUAUGGUUUAUGAUAUUCAGUUCUCUCUCAGCUUAUCCUAAUUGUAAAUGUUUGUUUAUUUAUUUUAGUUUUUAUGAAGGUUGUAUCUGUCAUACUUGUACAAUGUAUCAACACCCCUUUCUCUUAUUUACCAUUAAUCUACUUCAGAAAAAAAUCUCUAACAUGUUUAAUACAUAGGAUAGUCAAGUUAAAUUUGUAAUAAUGGAAGAUGAAGAUAAGUGCUAACAAAAUCAUAAAUAACAUAUUUGCAAAUAGUAAGAUUGUUUUUACCUCUAUUGAAUUGAAUAAGCAAAGGAAUUAUUUACAAAUGAAUAGGUUCUUAAACGUCCACUUGUUUUUAGUUGGGUUUUUUUAAUACAUUUUUAUACAGAAAAAGGAGACUUGUUUUUCUUAGGAAGAUUAACAGUAAACCGUGUGUAAUCUCAGAACUGUUUCUGUAAUGGACAAGUAGAUCUAUCAUUCAGAAGUGUUGAUCUGUGUAUUGAUAGACUUUCAGUCAUUGUUGUAUUUUUAUUUGUUGUAUUUUAAUUGUUUGUUUAUUUAUGAUAAGUUCCCUUUCAUUUUGUUGUCACAUAUCAACUGCAAUAUUUUUAUCUUAUUUUGUGUAUGAAAUGAUUUAGUAAAUUUGAGUUGAUAUAUUGUUUUUUAAAUUUUACAGUUCUAAUAUAACACCAAUAGAGGUGUGAAAUGACUUCAGUUGAAUAAAGCUGGCAUAUAGGUGGAAUUUACUGGUACAAAUAUUUUGCAUUUAUUUCGAAAAAGGUAGAUGUUUUGAAUCUCUAUUUUUUUUUCGAUGAAUAUCUUGGUCUUUUUGUAAAGACAGUGGAAGUGUGUAUAAUUAUUGUCUCGCAUAUUGAAAUUUGAGAUGUUAUUACAUGUAAUUUUAUAUGGAAAAAAAAGGGGAUUGGAUAUUUAACAGAUCUAACAGUAAGAUAUAUUUACUAGUUAAAUUUCUACAAAGUGAUUUAUUGAUGUGAUGUGAAAUACAUUUGAUAGAGUGUUAGAUGAAUCAACACAUGACAAAUCAGUGCACCAUUCAAUGUUAUUUUCAUAUUAAAAUUGUGCUGGUUAUAUGUGAUAAAAAUUGAUAUUUAAGGGGGCUCACGGGUAUAAAUCAUUUUUUUUUUAAAUAUAGGAUUUCGGUAUAUUUUUCUAUAAAUGAACUUUAUCUCAUACUUAAUAAUAUGAAAAUGAAAUAAAAAAAUGGGGUCACCGUCCAUUUAAGCUCACAUUCUGCCUCCAAAAGAAGCAUACAUUUUUGUUGAUGUCCCUUUUUU
rnacentral:lncRNA from 1 species